rnacentral:misc_RNA from 1 species
ACGAGUGACUCUGCGUGGUCG